AACCCAGUGUGACUCGUCACACUAUCAUUAACUGAAUCCAUAGGUUAAUGAGGCGAACCGGGGGAACUGAAACAUCUAAGUACCCCGAGGAAAAGAAAUCAACCGAGAUUCCCCCAGUAGCGGCGAGCGAACGGGGAGGAGCCCAGAGCCUGAAUCAGCAUGUGUGUUAGUGGAAGCGUCUGGAAAGGCGCGCGAUACAGGGUGACAGCCCCGUACACAAAAGCGCAUGUGCUGUGAGCUCGAUGAGUAGGGCGGGACACGUGGUAUCCUGUCUGAAUAUGGGGGGACCAUCCUCCAAGGCUAAAUACUCCUGACUGACCGAUAGUGAACCAGUACCGUGAGGGAAAGGCGAAAAGAACCCCGGCGAGGGGAGUGAAAAAGAACCUGAAACCGUGUACGUACAAGCAGUGGGAGCACAGGUUUACCUGUGUGACUGCGUACCUUUUGUAUAAUGGGUCAGCGACUUAUAUUCUGUAGCAAGGUUAACCGAAUAGGGGAGCCGGAGGGAAACCGAGUCUUAAUUGGGCGUUAAGUUGCAGGGUAUAGACCCGAAACCCGGUGAUCUAGCCAUGGGCAGGUUGAAGGUUGGGUAACACUAACUGGAGGACCGAACCGACUAAUGUUGAAAAAUUAGCGGAUGACCUGUGGCUGGGGGUGAAAGGCCAAUCAAACCGGGAGAUAGCUGGUUCUCCCCGAAAGCUAUUUAGGUAGCGCCUCGUGAAUUCAUCUCCGGGGGUAGAGCACUGUUUCGGCUAGGGGGCCAUCCCGGCUUACCAACCCGAUGCAAACUGCGAAUACCGGAGAAUGUUAUCACGGGAGACACACGGCGGGUGCUAACGUCCGUCGUGAAGAGGGAAACAACCCAGACCGCCAGCUAAGGUCCCAAAGUCAUGGUUAAGUGGGAAACGAUGUGGGAAGGCCCAGACAGCCAGGAUGUUGGCUUAGAAGCAGCCAUCAUUUAAAGAAAGCGUAAUAGCUCACUGGUCGAGUCGGCCUGCGCGGAAGAUGUAACGGGGCUAAACCAUGCACCGAAGCUGCGGCAGCGACGCUGAUGCGUUGUUGGGUAGGGGAGCGUUCUGUAAGCCUGCGAAGGUGGCCUGUGAGGGUUGCUGGAGGUAUCAGAAGUGCGAAUGCUGACAUAAGUAACGAUAAAGCGGGUGAAAAGCCCGCUCGCCGGAAGACCAAGGGUUCCUGUCCAACGUUAAUCGGGGCAGGGUGAGUCGACCCCUAAGGCGAGGCCGAAAGGCGUAGUCGAUGGGAAACGGGUUAAUAUUCCCGUACUUGGUGUUACUGCGAAGGGGGGACGGAGAAGGCUAUGUUGGCCGGGCGACGGUUGUCCCGGUUUAAGCGUGUAGGUGUGUGUUCCAGGUAAAUCCGGUU
rnacentral:rRNA from 1 species